CUUCUUUAUCUGUGGAGGAGAAGGAGGGGGAGGAGAAGGGAGAGGAGGAGGUAGAGAAGGAGAUGAAAGAUCCCAGAAAUUCCUGCACUUUCCUGUGUGGAUAUGUAUGAGGGCAACGAAGGAAAGCUAGUUGGUAGAAAUUCCAGACUGAAGAAAGUGAAGAAAAAAAAUAGGCCUGUGUGGCUGGGAAACUGGAUCAUCUGAAGAAAGCCCCUGCUCCUGAGUGAACCAAGUUAGAAGCAGCCAACAUCCAUACAAGACAUUUGUCUCAAGAUUCUGGACACCAGCUGAGUCUACUGUCCUAGUUUUUUUUUCCUCUCCCCUUUUGUUAUGUGCGCAACCGCCAAUACCCUGAUUCAAGUGUGUGUUGGCAUUUUCUCCCUCUGACAUUCUAGGCCAACCCAUCUCUUUUCAAAUAAUGACUAAUAAUGACACCUGGUAUACACCUACUCCAGAGACUGGCUCAAGGAAUUAACUGCCGGGGCAAUAUCAGGUGGCUGCAUAUACCUCCUUCUCCUUCAUUGGCCUUAAGGGUAAGGGUUCUUUCAGACCCCCUCCCUUUGGCCAAAAGGAGGAAAUGUCAAAAUAUGUUGCAGAGCUAAGGCCCAGAAAACAAACUGUUCACUGAGCUUGGCAAAACAACAAUCCGUUGAGCUCAGGAUGAUCUUGCACUCCGGCAAAAUGUCUUGCACCAGGUGUUCACUCCCCCUAUUUCCCAGGGACCUGAGAGCCAACAUCCAUCACAUCUCUGACAUGUUGCUUGUACUGUACUACUGUUCCUGUCACAGAACUCUGGUUCUGUACCCCACAGAAGUAAUCAUGGCCCCUAAGACUUUGGACAAUACCAUUCCCACAGGACCCAUGGCAACAGUAACUCAAGACCUAAAAAUGAUUAUGUCAUAGUCCAGCCCAGUAUUUAUAGAAUCACUGCCUACAUGUUAAGCCCUCCUACUCAGGAAGACUUCCACUUGCAAGUGUUUUCCUCACUCUGAAACUAAUUAAACUAGUACUUGUUUCUUGA